rnacentral:rRNA from 1 species
CCUACGGGUGGCAGCAGUGGGGAAUAUUGCACAAUGGGCGCAAGCCUGAUGCAGCCAUGCCGCGUGUGUGAAGAAGGCCUUCGGGUUGUAAAGCACUUUCAGCGGGGAGGAAGGCGUUAAGGUUAAUAACCUUGGCGAUUGACGUUACCCGCAGAAGAAGCACCGGCUAACUCCGUGCCAGCAGCCGCGGUAAUACGGAGGGUGCAAGCGUUAAUCGGAAUUACUGGGCGUAAAGCGCACGCAGGCGGUCUGUCAAGUCGGAUGUGAAAUCCCCGGGCUCAACCUGGGAACUGCAUUCGAAACUGGCAGGCUAGAGUCGUGUAGAGGGGGGUAGAAUUCCAGGUGUAGCGGUGAAAUGCGUAGAGAUCUGGAGGAAUACCGGUGGCGAAGGCGGCCCCCUGGACAAAGACUGACGCGCAGGUGCGAAAGCGUGGGGAGCAAACAGGAUUAGAUACCCGUGUAGUC